AUGCUGAAAUCAUCGUCUGGAAACAUGCAUCAUUUUUCAACGGGCAGCUCAUCUGCUAUCAUCGCCUCCUCCUCAUCCUCCUCUUCAUCGUCGAAUGGUUACGGUCACUCGCCACGUGACUUGCUCACCGGAGCAGCAGUUGCGAAUGGUGGUGGUGGUGGAUUCGGUGGUGUCGCCGGUGUGGCAUUUGCUACGACGUCACCGCCGACGCCUGUUAAUUUGGAUGUGCAACGAAUCGACUGUACCGAUGAGACGACGGUUGUAAUGGUAAAGCUGACGGAUGAAAUGUUUGCAGCUCUUCAAGAAAGUCAACGAAGUGGUAAACCACUUCGGAUAAACGUUAACGAUAAGGAAGGACGCGUCGAAAUUGGCGAUGGUACAGCUUCGUCAAAAACCAACAAUACUUUUUAUUUCCAAAAGCAAACGGUGCCGGAACAAACGGAUACUCUUGUACACUCGGGUGGAGGCGUUCGAAAUGUCGGAACGUACAAAACAAAAUACCAAAUUCAAGCAACAGACCGGUCAUUUCAAGAAACGAAGAAGCGAGCUGAGCUCCGUGCUGAAGUGGAAAAAAGUCGAGGAACGAAACAGAUGAAAAAAAGCGGAGUCACAAGUAGCUCUUCUCGAUACCACAACUCUUCCAAUUCGACGCCACGUAGCAUGAACAGUGCUCCGAAUUCGUCACGUGUGAGCCCAUCAUUCAUGUCAUCGUCAUCGUCAAAAGCUUCGACAAGCCACGUGACGACGAACAACUCGAAAGGAACACCAAAUAAUGGCUCAGAGAGCAAGAAAAUUGAUAUGACACCGCAACUGAUGAAACAUUCGAUCAAAAAACGAAUUAUCCAUUUGAUUGUUACACAAAAGUAUAGCAACUGGGAGGAAGUGUACAAGAAGUUGAAAUCUGAUGGUCUGCCUGAAGAAAAGGAUGAAAUUGAGAAAAUUCGGAGUUGUGUGGAAGAGGUUUCCGAGACACGGCCUGAAAUGUCUGUAAUGUCACUUCGAACAAGUUUUCUCUCAGAAGUAGAUCAACGAUGGAUGUUCUUUAAUCAAGAGGAAAAGUCGCAUGUUCGACGUCUAUGUAACUCGGGAUCCCGUGUCGGUCCAACUGACAACAACUUUGCUCCAUUGAGAAAGAAGGGAAUGGAACGGAUCACGGCGAGUUCGAAGACUGAAAAAGAUAAAGUGAAGGAGAAGCUAGAAGAAGCGGCGAAGAUCCCGAGCCCGCCGAAAGAUCAAAAGUCACUUCCGUCAAUUGUCGAGGAGGACGACUAUUAUACGGCUCCGCCGGAGCCGGCGAAUAAGCGCCGUGCUCAUAACUUGGCUCCACCACCACCGCCACCAGUUCAAGUGGUAACUCCACAGACGACGUCUUCUCAGACUGAGACUGGCCCACUGCCGCCGAAACGAACGAAACGGCCCGAAUCGUCGAGCCCGCAACUGGAGCGGUCAUCGCAACCAGCUUCUAAGGUUUUUAUUUGGAAUUUUUAAAAAAUAAUUUGAAAAAAAAAUAAUGGAAAAUGGGAAAAAAUGCUAAUUUUUCUGAAAUUUGCUCUAAAAAUGGGCUGAUUUUUGUUUGAAUAGCAUUUGGUGCAAAAAAAACCGGCUUUUUGUCGAAAAUUUGUAUAAAUUACUCAUUUUGUGUGAAAUUCUUGUCAAAAUUUAAUUAAAACGAUUAAUUUGGAGAAAAUCGACUGGAAACGGCAAAAAAGAAAAGAAAAAAGACUAAAAAAUUGAAAAUUUAUUCAAAGUUUAGUUAAUCUGGAAAUAUGAAAAAAGAACGAAAAAAAUUUGUAAAACAGCGAAAAACUAUGAAAAAUGGAAAAUUACAUUAAUUUUUAGACAUUUCUCUGAAAAAGUGAAAUUUUUUAAAAUAACUUCACAAGUUAUUAACGCUUUAAUUAAUUUUUCUAAAAAUUCUGAAAAUCAGGGUUUAAAAUCGAAAAAAAAGGUUUUUUUCUUCGAUUUUUUCAUUUUUUCAAUUUUGUAAAAAAAAUUUCUAAAAAAAAUUAAAAUUCCAGAAAAUAAAAUACGAAUUUUUUUUUUGAAUUUUUCGAAUUUUUGAAAAACAGUUUUUAAAUUAAUUUUUGGUCUGAAAAAAAACUAAAAAACAAAAACAACAGCCCUGAAAUACCUGAAAUAAAUUUUAAAAAAUUGGGAAAAAAAUAAUUGAAAUUUUACGAAUUUUUCGUUUCCAGCUCAACCCCAUCAAACUGGCAGCAACGAUUGCGAUGCAACCGAUCCCAAAGUGUGAUCCUCCACCACCACCACCAUCACGUGACACUUAUCAUCACAACGUGGCAUCUGUCGCCGUGAAUGGAGGUGGCUCCACUGCGUCGAGCCGAGUCUCAUCGCCAGCUUCAUCUCUCUCGUCACCGAGUCAACCAUCGUGUAACUGGGAGAAACAGUUUGGAGAUAUUAAGACACUUUCUGAAGCAGAAGCUUAUUUUAAGCAAUUUCAUAAGGAAUAUCCAUUGUAUAUGGAAUGUCAUGAAAUGUUGACGAAAGUUUCAUCCGAAUUUCGAGGGCUUGAAGUGAAGCUGCUCACUGCAGUUGCUCUUAGUAAAACGUCACCGUCACCGCAGAAUAUGCAGAAUGUGAAGCAAAUUGAAAAGAACAUACAGAAUCGAUAUGCACACUUUGAGAAGGAUCCCGAAUUUAUGAAAGCUCGCCAACGUCACACGGAUCUUCGCUCGAAGCUAAACGUACUGAAGACUCGUAUCGGUAGCUGGGAAAAAAUGCGACGGCAAUCAUCGACAAAUGUCUGA
rnacentral:misc_RNA from 1 species